rnacentral:rRNA from 1 species
AUGUCCCCACGCUGCCGGGUGAGGAGCUACCCAUUUCUGACGCAGGAGCGCCAGCUACAGCUCCUUCAUAUCCGGGCAAGGCGCGAAGCCCGGAUCACUGUGGGGCUACCUCCAGAUGCAGUGGAUUCGGAGCUGGAGUUGGAGUUGGAGGAGGAGGAGGAUGAGGGGCACGCUGGGGAUGCGGAUGUGCAGGCAGAGCAGCAAACCAUCCUCGAUUCCCUUCGCUCGGAGUUAGAUGCGGAGGCUAAACGUCGUCGUCAGCGGGAAAUGGAGGCGGAGCAUGCCGCCAAGGAGGAGGAGAUGCUCGCUUAUAUGGAUGAGGUCGAGGAGGAGGGGGAGGAGUCCGAGCCCUAUUACGCGCCCGUCCACCCUGCGCCCGGUAUCGACGUCGUGGACAUCUCCGACGACGAAGAUUAG